rnacentral:rRNA from 1 species
AGUGAACGCUGGCGGUAGGCCUAACACAUGCAAGUCGAACGGCAGCCCAGUAAGUGCUUGCUCUUACGGGUGGCGAGUGGCGGACGGGUGAGGAAUACAUCGGAAUCUACUUUUUCGUGGGGGAUAACGUAGGGAAACUUACGCUAAUACCGCAUACGACCUACGGGUGAAAGCAGGGGAUCUUCGGACCUUGCGCGAUUGAAUGAGCCGAUGUCGGAUUAGCUAGUUGGCGGGGUAAAGGCCCACCAAGGCGACGAUCCGUAGCUGGUCUGAGAGGAUGAUCAGCCACACGGGAACUGAGACACGGUCCAGACUCCUGCGGGAGGCAGCAGUGGGGAAUAUUGGGCAAUGGGGGCAAGCCUGAUCCAGCCAUACCGCGUGGGUGAAGAAGGCGUUCCGGUUGGAAAGCCCUUUUGUUGGGAAAGAAAAGCAGCAGGUUAAUACCCCGCUGUUCUGACGGUACCCAAAGAAGAAGCACCGGCUAACUACGUG